UGGGGGAUAUUGCACAAUGGGCGAAAGCCUGAUGCAGCGACGCCGCGUGAGGGAAGACGGUCUUCGGAUUGUAAACCUCUGUCUUCGGGGACGAUAAUGACGGUACCCGAGGAGGAAGCUCCGGCUAACUACGUGCCAGCAGCCGCGGUAAUACGUAGGGAGCGAGCGUUGUCCGGAAUUACUGGGUGUAAAGGGAGCGUAGGCGGGAGUGCAAGUUGAAUGUUAAAUCUAUCGGCUCAACCGGUAGCCGCGUUCAAAACUGCAUUUCUUGAGUGAAGUAGAGGUUGGCGGAAUUCCUAGUGUAGCGGUGAAAUGCGUAGAUAUUAGGAGGAACACCAGUGGCGAAGGCGGCCAACUGGGCUUUUACUGACGCUGAGGCUCGAAAGCGUGGGGAGCAAACAGGAUUAGAUACCCGCGUAGUCC
rnacentral:rRNA from 1 species